rnacentral:rRNA from 1 species
GACGAACGCUGGCGGCGUGCUUAACACAUGCAAGUCGAACGCUGAAGCUCAGCUUUUGUUGGGUGGAUGAGUGGCGAACGGGUGAGUAACACGUGAGUAACCUGCCCCCUUCUUUGGGAUAACGCCCGGAAACGGGUGCUAAUACUGGAUAUUCACUGGUCUUCGCAUGGGGGUUGGUGGAAAGGGUUUUUCUGGUGGGGGAUGGGCUCGCGGCCUAUCAGCUUGUUGGUGGGGUGAUGGCCUACCAAGGCUUUGACGGGUAGCCGGCCUGAGAGGGUGACCGGUCACAUUGGGACUGAGAUACGGCCCAGACUCCUACGGGAGGGAGCAGUGGGGAAUAUUGCACAAUGGGCGCAAGCCUGAUGCAGCGACGCGGCGUGAGGGAUGGAGGCCUUCGGGUUGUGAAACUCUUUCGCUCAUGGUCAAGCCGCAACAAUGGUUGUGGUGAGGGUAGUGGGUAAAGAAGCGCCGGCUAACUACGUG